rnacentral:rRNA from 1 species
GUGGGGAAUAUUGCGCAAUGGGGGAAACCCUGACGCAGCAACGCCGCGUGAGCGAAGAAGGUUUUCGGAUUGUAAAGCUCUGUCUUUAGGGACGAUAAUGACGGUACCUAAGGAGGAAGCCCCGGCUAACUACGUGCCAGCAGCCGCGGUAAUACGUAGGGGGCAAGCGUUGUCCGGAUUCACUGGGCGUAAAGAGCACGUAGGCGGUUAAUUAAGUCAGGUGUGAAAGUUUUCGGCUCAACCGGAAAAGUGCACUUGAAACUGGAUAACUUGAGUAUCGGAGAGGUAAGCGGAAUUCCUAGUGUAGCGGUGAAAUGCGUAGAGAUUAGGAAGAACACCGGUGGCGAAGGCGGCUUACUGGACGAUAACUGACGCUGAGGUGCGAAAGCGUGGGGAGCGAACAGGAUUAGAAACCCUGGUAGUCC